GCCUGGAUAGCUCAGUUGGCAGAGCGCGUCUUUGGUAAAGACGAGGUCCUGGGUCCGAUUCCCAGUCCAGGCU
rnacentral:tRNA from 1 species